rnacentral:rRNA from 1 species
CCUACGGGGGGCAGCAGUGGGGAAUAUUGGACAAUGGGGGGAACCCUGAUCCAGCCAUGCCGCGUGUGUGAAGAAGGCCCUCGGGUUGUAAAGCACUUUCAGUGAGGAAGAACGCCUGGUGGUUAAUACCCAUCAGGAAAGACAUCACUCACAGAAGAAGCACCGGCUAACUCCGUGCCAGCAGCCGCGGUAAUACGGAGGGUGCGAGCGUUAAUCGGAAUUACUGGGCGUAAAGCGCGCGUAGGUGGCUUGAUAAGCCGGUUGUGAAAGCCCCGGGCUCAACCUGGGAACGGCAUCCGGAACUGUCAAGCUAGAGUGCAGGAGAGGAAGGUAGAAUUCCCGGUGUAGCGGUGAAAUGCGUAGAGAUCGGGAGGAAUACCAGUGGCGAAGGCGGCCUUCUGGACUGACACUGACCCUGAGGUGCGAAAGCGUGGGUAGCAAACAGGAUUAGAUACCCUGGUAGUC